rnacentral:rRNA from 1 species
UACAGAGGGGGCGAGCGUUAUUCGGAAUUAUUGGGCGUAAAGGGCGCGUAGGCGGCUAAGUAAGUCUCGGGUGAAAUCCCUCGGCUCAACCGAGGAACUGCCUUGGAAACUGCUUGGCUUGAGGCCGGGAGAGGAUGGUGGAAUUCCCAGUGUAGCGGUGAAAUGCGUAGAUAUCAGGAGGAACACCAAUUGCGAAGGCAGCUCGCUGGGACGUUACUGACGCUGAGACGCGAAAGCGUGGGGAGCAAACAGG